rnacentral:rRNA from 1 species
UUAAGCGACUAAGCGUACACGGUGGAUGCCCUGGCAGUCAGAGGCGAUGAAGGACGUGCUAAUCUGCGAUAAGCGUCGGUAAGGUGAUAUGAACCGUUAUAACCGGCGAUUUCCGAAUGGGGAAACCCAGUGUGAUUCGUCACACUAUCAUUAACUGAAUCCAUAGGUUAAUGAGGCGAACCGGGGGAACUGAAACAUCUAAGUACCCCGAGGAAAAGAAAUCAACCGAGAUUCCCCCAGUAGCGGCGAGCGAACGGGGAGCAGCCCAGAGCCUGAAUCAGUGUGUGUGUUAGUGGAAGCGUCUGGAAAGGCGUGCGAUACAGGGUGACAGCCCCGUACACAAAAAUGCACAUACUGUGAGCUCGAUGAGUAGGGCGGGACACGUGGUAUCCUGUCUGAAUAUGGGGGGACCAUCCUCCAAGGCUAAAUACUCCUGACUGACCGAUAGUGAACCAGUACCGUGAGGGAAAGGCGAAAAGAACCCCGGCGAGGGGAGUGAAAAAGAACCUGAAACCGUGUACGUACAAGCAGUGGGAGCACGCUUAGGCGUGUGACUGCGUACCUUUUGUAUAAUGGGUCAGCGACUUAUAUUCUGUAGCAAGGUUAACCGAAUAGGGGAGCCGAAGGGAAACCGAGUCUUAACUGGGCGUUAAGUUGCAGGGUAUAGACCCGAAACCCGGUGAUCUAGCCAUGGGCAGGUUGAAGGUUGGGUAACACUAACUGGAGGACCGAACCGACUAAUGUUGAAAAAUUAGCGGAUGACUUGUGGCUGGGGGUGAAAGGCCAAUCAAACCGGGAGAUAGCUGGUUCUCCCCGAAAGCUAUUUAGGUAGCGCCUCGUGAAUUCAUCUCCGGGGGUAGAGCACUGUUUCGGCAAGGGGGUCAUCCCGACUUACCAACCCGAUGCAAACUGCGAAUACCGGAGAAUGUUAUCACGGGAGACACACGGCGGGUGCUAACGUCCGUCGUGAAGAGGGAAACAACCCAGACCGCCAGCUAAGGUCCCAAAGUCAUGGUUAAGUGGGAAACGAUGUGGGAAGGCCCAGACAGCCAGGAUGUUGGCUUAGAAGCAGCCAUCAUUUAAAGAAAGCGUAAUAGCUCACUGGUCGAGUCGGCCUGCGCGGAAGAUGUAACGGGGCUAAACCAUGCACCGAAGCUGCGGCAGCGACGCUUAUGCGUUGUUGGGUAGGGGAGCGUUCUGUAAGCCUGUGAAGGUGUGCUGUGAGGUAUGCUGGAGGUAUCAGAAGUGCGAAUGCUGACAUAAGUAACGAUAAAGCGGGUGAAAAGCCCGCUCGCCGGAAGACCAAGGGUUCCUGUCCAACGUUAAUCGGGGCAGGGUGAGUCGACCCCUAAGGCGAGGCCGAAAGGCGUAGUCGAUGGGAAACAGGUUAAUAUUCCUGUACUUGGUGUUACUGCGAAGGGGGGACGGAGAAGGCUAUGUUGGCCGGGCGACGGUUGUCCCGGUUUAAGCGUGUAGGCUGGUUUUCCAGGCAAAUCCGGAAAAUCAAGGCCGAGGCGUGAUGACGAGGCACUACGGUGCUGAAGCAACAAAUGCCCUGCUUCCAGGAAAAGCCUCUAAGCAUCAGGUAACAUCAAAUCGUACCCCAAACCGACACAGGUGGUCAGGUAGAGAAUACCAAGGCGCUUGAGAGAACUCGGGUGAAGGAACUAGGCAAAAUGGUGCCGUAACUUCGGGAGAAGGCACGCUGAUACGUAGGUGAAGCGACUUGCUCGUGGAGCUGAAAUCAGUCGAAGAUACCAGCUGGCUGCAACUGUUUAUUAAAAACACAGCACUGUGCAAAUACGAAAGUGGACGUAUACGGUGUGACGCCUGCCCGGUGCCGGAAGGUUAAUUGAUGGGGUUAGCGCAAGCGAAGCUCUUGAUCGAAGCCCCGGUAAACGGCGGCCGUAACUAUAACGGUCCUAAGGUAGCGAAAUUCCUUGUCGGGUAAGUUCCGACCUGCACGAAUGGCGUAAUGAUGGCCAGGCUGUCUCCACCCGAGACUCAGUGAAAUUGAACUCGCUGUGAAGAUGCAGUGUACCCGCGGCAAGACGGAAAGACCCCGUGAACCUUUACUAUAGCUUGACACUGAACAUUGAGCCUUGAUGUGUAGGAUAGGUGGGAGGCUUUGAAGUGUGGACGCCAGUCUGCAUGGAGCCGACCUUGAAAUACCACCCUUUAAUGUUUGAUGUUCUAACGUGGACCCGUGAUCCGGGUUGCGGACAGUGUCUGGUGGGUAGUUUGACUGGGGCGGUCUCCUCCUAAAGAGUAACGGAGGAGCACGAAGGUUGGCUAAUCCUGGUCGGACAUCAGGAGGUUAGUGCAAUGGCAUAAGCCAGCUUGACUGCGAGCGUGACGGCGCGAGCAGGUGCGAAAGCAGGUCAUAGUGAUCCGGUGGUUCUGAAUGGAAGGGCCAUCGCUCAACGGAUAAAAGGUACUCCGGGGAUAACAGGCUGAUACCGCCCAAGAGUUCAUAUCGACGGCGGUGUUUGGCACCUCGAUGUCGGCUCAUCACAUCCUGGGGCUGAAGUAGGUCCCAAGGGUAUGGCUGUUCGCCAUUUAAAGUGGUACGCGAGCUGGGUUUAGAACGUCGUGAGACAGUUCGGUCCCUAUCUGCCGUGGGCGCUGGAGAACUGAGGGGGGCUGCUCCUAGUACGAGAGGACCGGAGUGGACGCAUCACUGGUGUUCGGGUUGUCAUGCCAAUGGCACUGCCCGGUAGCUAAAUGCGGAAGAGAUAAGUGCUGAAAGCAUCUAAGCACGAAACUUGCCCCGAGAUGAGUUCUCCCUGACCCUUUAAGGGUCCUGAAGGAACGUUGAAGACGACGACGUUGAUAGGCCGGGUGUGUAAGCGCAGCGAUGCGUUGAGCUAACCGGUACUAAUGAACCGUGAGGCUUAACCUU